GUCCAAAUGUGUAUCAUCGCGUUUUCUUGUUAGCUUCUUUGCUUUGCAUUCCCAACUCUAGCCUCACAGGAAAUUCGGUCCCUGGCAAGCUUCGGCUCCAGACAGGAAACGUCUUGAGGAAUUUCUUCCAUGCAGCUUGGCUUCCAUGUGGGUCCCUCGGGAGGGCUGAGGAUUCGCAUCCCGUCCCAGAAGCGGGAGGCACGCGAGCUCUGCACGUUUGCACAGCGUAUCGCUCGUUUGGAAGCAGCGAGGAGAGGACUGCAGCCCGCACAGCCAGGCCACCACGGCCCUCAAACCCUUGCCUGCAAAGCGUUGGCAGCGGAGUCGAGCAUGCCGAUUUCCAGUGGAAGGGAGGGAGGGAGGGCAAAGAGCCUGGCUCACAAAAUGGAGUGAUCACACCAGAAUAAAAUGACUGUUUUUUUUCCAGCCUACCGCGUCCCCGUGGGCAGCUAUUUUAAAAGUUGUUGCAGAAUAGCUUAUCCCACAACAGCGGUGCUGGGGAAUUUCCCCCCGGGAGACAAGACCUCAGAAAGGAUUCUAGUAAACGGUCUUCACAGAACAUCGCCCCGUGCUGGGGCGUCACGCCCAGCAGCUGACAGCGCCCCGGGGGAGCCGUGUGGGAUGAGGACAGCUCCCCAGGGACCCAUGCCUCUGGCACGGCCGCUGUCCUUGCUGGCACAGCCCCUCAGCCCCUUGGUGGAGGCCUGCGCAGAGGAGGGGAGAGCUGACGGGAUGAGGUUGGUUCACGCUGAGCUUCGCCCACUUGCCGGCACCAUCCAUCGGAGGCCAGCGCUGGUGUCGGCUCUGGUGGCCACUGGCACACCAGAAAUACUGGGAAGGAGACUGUGGUUUCCAGAUAAAAUCACUGUGGGGUAGGGGCAGCGUACGCAAACUGGUGCAAUGGGCUGUAUUUGUCGUGGCACUCUAGGUAUGCGAUAAAUAAAAAAACAGACAUCUUGCAGUUUGGUUGGCAUGGCGGGACUAAGCAUUGCAAAAAAAAACCCAAAACAAACCAAGAACGACAGCAACAACAAAGUUAAAAAGCCUGACCAAUCCUGAAUACCCACAGCUAAGCAUCUGGGAGUGGAACAAGAAGUCCACGAGGCCUGUGGGCUGGCUGGUACAUCCAUGCAGCCCCAGAGUCUCUCUCUUUUCUUGCAGGUCUGGCCUUCACAAUUGUAGCUGCUGGCCGGCCACUGCUCCUCAUCCCGGCAGCUCAGCUGUGGCUCAUCCAUGCCAGGAGAGGCUUGGGAAGAUGUUCCAGCGAGCUCUGAUUAGAUCUGCUCCUCCCAGGGCACUUCAGCAGGGUUUGCUCCUUUUUCUCAUUCCACACAAGGUUUUAAAAGGCUGUGUUUGUAAACAGCAGUCUCCAUCUCGCUGCCUCCAGGGCAUUGGGCUGAAGGCCAGGGAGGGAUCUAAGAGACGACGGCAGACAGUUUUAAGAGGCGGUGGCGUCCGAUCGCCGCCUGGGAGAGGGCACGCCUUGCAGUUAAUAACCACGGUGUCGGGAGUCACCUACAGCACCAGCAGGUCUCAGCACUAUUUUGUAGCUCCCUGAGGCUGAGCUUGGCUUUUACUGAAAUGACCUCUUCGCAUGCUGAGGUAAACGCUGGGUGUCCCGAGCCAGCUCUGCCAGAAUCCACGGGGAGUAAUGUUGCCUCAAAUGCCUGUACGAGACCAAUGCCCCGUGAUGAUAAAACAACACGGCGGACAUGUGUUUGCACUUGACACAGUGCUGGUUAAAUAUUCACCUCGUUCCACCUCUCCUUCCCACAGAUCGCUUUGGAGAGCUAGGUCACGUACGGGGACGUGGGCGCUCCUGUCCUACCGGGGAGGCAAGGGCCUGCUGUGGCUUGGCACCUGGUCACCGAGCACAGGCCAGGUGAGAGGCCUUUGAAGAGGAUCUGCCCAAGCCUCCCAGGCUCCCUUUGCCUCAGUGCUUUCAAAAAAUGGUUAAUGAUCACCGUCAUUUGGCGCUGUGACAUUGUGGAGCAGUGACAAAGCCCUGCCGUUGCGGGCAGGCCAGACCUGGGGGAGUUAGAGGUGGGCCCACCUCUUCGCGCCCGCUCCAGCGUUGGUGGGCGAGGGAGGCAAGGAGCGAGCUCAGCCGAGCACAAGCCUGAGCCUGUCGGUGUGUCCAGAAGUGCUUCUCCCCACAUACUUUACCAGCAGGCGCAUGCUGGCACGGGUUUAGCUGGAGCUGCAAAGCUCCCAGGAAGGUGAGAGCCUGGAAAGCUUCACGUGGUCUGGGCAGAGAGGGCAGCACUAACACCCUCAGCACACACGGGUGGUCGGGGCAGAGCUAUAUGGCUGGGAAGCAGCCCGUGGUCCAGGCAGGCUGUCCGUAGGGGUGUCCUGCCUGCACCUGAGCUCAUGCUUCCCUGUACAGCUGCAGCUUUUGUGCCCUGCAUCCCGAAGGCCUGGAGCUUGGGUUGAUCUUGUUUCCCGUCGGUGUAAGUCCACACUGGACUCCUGUGGCUUCACAGUGCGCGUGACAGCGGGUACCUGGGCCAGGCGUUACACCCGUGCAAAGGACUUGGCUGUUCCCGGCACUGGGAAAUCAGGCUUGGCUGGUGGGGCCGAGAGAGGAAGGGAAAAGCCUUAAAGGAUGGCUCCUUUAAGGGAGGAAGCCGAGAGGGCUGUGAGGGAAGGGAGCUCUGUGUUUUUCUCUCAGCGCCUCAGGGGCUGGUUACUAAAUUUGGUUACUGGGCUUAAAUAAUGCAGCGUGGCAGAGCCCAGUGGGUUUGAACAUUGUCAUAUCCACAUAAUCCUCUCCUAGGUGGCUGAGAUCUCUUGUUCUCUGCCGCUGCUAUCUGCACAGGAGUUUGAAUGCGAUGUGAAACAUCAUCUUAAAUAAUUAUAACUAGCAGAGAAGAGCCAAAGCUGCAAAGUCCCAUCAAUUUCCACUGUGCUUCGUCUAUCUGUGUAAUUUCUAAGGUGCCAAUCACCAAAGCAUCCAAGCACUGUCUCAUCUGGAUCCGAACUCCGUUGGUGCUCUUGGAGGCUCGAAUCUUAGCAUUUUUGCGAGCCCAUCUCUAAUGAGCAAGCACAGGGACAGAGCUGCAUACUGGGGGCAAGCGAGCUUCUUAUUGUUGGUCUUUGUGAUUUACUGACCAAAAGUCCAGUGGCUGGAGGAGUCAGGACCUCAUGGUCACUGCAGCCCGGGAAGGAUUAAAUCCUCUUCCCAGCACUCAGGGAAGGCAGGGGCAGGUUUACCAAGGGAGGGCAGGGUGCCACGGCCCCUGCCCAGCAUGCUGCCCAGCCUUGGGGCGAGAUGCAGCCACCCCUCCUUAUAGAUCCAAGGCUCCCCGUGCAGAGACGAGGGAGGAGCAUGAGACAGGAGCCAGCAACCUGGCUUUGCACCACGCCGGAGAAGGGGGAAAAGUGUGAUGUCCCUAGCUAUCUCCCAGCUGACCUACUGCCCCAUACUUUCUGCAGACUUUGUGAAACACAUCGAGACGUGCUGGAUUACCGCUCACUGCUAACACAGCGAGUAUUAACAGUGGCGAAGGGACUCACCCCGCUGAACAUACUGAACAUGCUCACCUGGAAUGAAAAUGGAUUAAGCCUUUCCUUCAUUACCAGGGAAACAGAAUUUGUUUCUAAUGAGAAUCUGACAGGUACAGAGCUACUUCCCUCCCUGAUCCGGUGUGACACUUGACAGCAGGUUUUCAUGGCAGAGGUUUCUGGGAGAGAUGCUUUCCAAACCCCAUUUGCAAGUAUCACAUCUGAGUCCCUACAGAAGCGCAGGUCCUCUCCCCACCUCCCCCAUUGAUCAGCCCUAUCCUCCUUCCCCCAUGACUGCCAGAGUAUUUUUAGUGAUGUUGAAUAAAUACAUGUUAAAUAUUUCUCCAUUAGUGACAUGUCAGAAAUUAAAAUGACAUUAGCUGUAAAGCCUGCAGCAAAGCCAGCUUCAUCUAGGGCACUUGCGCACGGUUGCCCAAGAAGCUAGGAACAAUGCUAGCACAAAAGUCCUUUUCCUUUAAUCCAUUCUUAUUCUCUGCAGACCCUUCCUGCUCCUCUCUCCCCAUAAAUCCUAAUGCUAUCUUCUUCUGCUGUUUACUCAUCAACAAUCCCCGAGCCUCCCAAGCUUUAUGCCUGAGAAGAAUCUCUGGGUGAUGAGGUUUAAUACUCUGCAGUCACAGACAUCACGUUAAGACAUUUCUUGAGCCCCCCCAAAAAAGGCAGUUGGAAUUUUAUUUGGCCCUUGCUACGUCCACUGUAUAGCAACUCCAAAACUGCUUCCAUAGCUGGAACUUCAGUGUAUCUGCAGUUAGAUUUUUCUCCAUUCAUACCCACAACUGUGUUCAUCUUAUUCCAUUUAAUCUCCACUCUUCCAUGUACGCUGUCUCCUCGCCUCAGCUAGCCUUCGUCCCUGACCUUAAGCCAUGCCCACUGUCAGGCACCCUCCUCCUUUAUUUCAAACCCUAUUCCUCCCUAGGCACCAUGCCUCUCCCCCACUGCUUGCGUUGCUUCACCUUUCCCCCACCCCACGCUUCCACCCUCCCUUCUCACGGCUACCCCUCCUGUCCUUUUCCUUCUCUGUGCCCUUCUUCAGUCUACCCCGUCUCCUUGUCUCAUCCAUCUUCCUCAGAGAUGGACAUCUCUGCUGUCUCUGGUGGUUCAGGCAGACGGCUCGCAUCUUCUCCGAGUUGCCCAAGGCAGGAGCUUGCUCUCCUUUGAUACUACUCCCUCAGGUGCCUGGUAUGGAUCAGCUUGGCAUCCAGAGCUUGAAGCGAAGCCUGCACAAUGCUAACAGCCCGUGCACCUUAACAGGAGAAGGUCAGCUCAGGAGCUCUGUCACAAGGGAGCCCUGGAUAAUGGAUGAGGUGAAGCUUGAGGUGGAAGACACUGAAAUGCUACAGCUAUCAAGCAAGCGAAAAUAUUUAUAGCUGUGAACUGCAGGGUGACUGAUUGUGCAGGGCAGGGAAAAGCUGCCAUUAGGGAAGAGGGAAAUUGCAAAACAAACAUCCCCUUUGGGUAUUUAGUAGCACACCCAAAAGAUUAACAUUGAUUAUAGCUCCCUAUUAAGAAGCAAGAUACUAUGCUGCUUUCAUUAACCAGGUGGGUUCUGAAUCCUCGGCUGCUUCCCCCCAGGUAUCAGGUGAGACAUCAAGGCUGGCAUUCCCUGUGGCAUAAAGUUAGGCUCUGCUGGUUAGCAGGCUUAUCCUGAGGCCCUGCUCUGCAAAGGUAGUUAGGUUUCAGGCAGCUGACAUUUUUUAGAUGCUUAAAUCUUUCAAGGCUCUGAGCCUUAGGAGCUAAGAGGGCGACUACGAAACACCAGGCUGCCUGGUUCCAGUCUAGUGAACGUCAGUCCUGCUGGAUAAAUGUUACCGUUAAAUAUCUGCACGAUGUCAAAUCAUUCUCUGAGGCUAGGUCAUUCUGCAGUUGCCUGAUGUUGCCUCUCUUUACCCUUUCUUUCUGAAGGAGUGGGUGAUAGCCAGUGUCAAACUCCUGAUAAUGGCUUUGACAGACCUGUGUGGAACCGAAAUCGUUUGACAGCUAUUAAUUCAUUCGGACAAGCCAGCCUGCUGCUUGAUGGGUGUUUUGUUUCACGUGGGGGGGCGGGUCGGGGACACGGGGAGAAUUGGUGCCUUUCCCAGACUUGCACAAUGGCAGGCUUGGAAGCAGGCCCUGUGCAAUUUCAAUUGCUCCGAGUUGCACGCAUCGACUUCGGGGCUGCUCACUUUUUAUUGUGGCAGUGGAAGGAGGUGCAGGGAGCAAGCUGGCUGCUGUGGCUUGGGUGCUGUAGGAUUUUAGCAGUUCAGUGGCCUUUUCGUACCGGUUCUGAAGUCACAGCUUUCCCAACAUUCGGCAAUCAGUAAGGGUUGUGCACAGGUAACACUUCUGUUUCAUGGCGCAAGAAGUCUGCGGAGACAGGAGCAGGAAGAAGAGAUUGAAGAAAUUGCUUCCUCCACCAGUCUCCUGCUUAAUGACCUGCCUGAAGAAUUACGCAGAACUCAGACCCUUCCUCCGGGUCAAUGCUUCCCAGAGGGAAGGGAGAUAUCUUAAUAAUGGAAUAGACUCCUUCCGCAGACUUGCAACCAGUCCUUUAUUAAUGACAGGACCUGAUCCUCGCCUCCCUCCCAGCUCAGCACCUUUAAUCUCUCUGGAACCGAGCCAAGCCUCUCCGAUCUAGGAAAGCAAGGGACUAGCUUUCUCCAGUGAAUCUCUGAGCCAGGAGAAACAACAGCUCUGAUGCUCGGGCUCUUCUCAUCAUUUUGCACCAAAAGCAUGCUGCCAUCAACGUGGGGAGCUAAGUCUGUGGUGGGGACCAGGCUGUGUCCUUUCUGCCCCACACAUCUCAUUAAAAAAACAGCAGGUGGUUUGGCUGGAGGUUCUUAGAAGAAGAAGUCCCAGCAGAAGACACCAGAAUUGAAAAGAGCGUAUUUAGUGGGGCUGUGGGGAUGACUUCUUGCAGAAAAGUGCUUUAGAAGGAGGUCAGCUUUGAGUCCACCUGCACUACACCCAGGUUUUUGUGGGCUGUGCCACACUGCGCUGGCUAUGCCGCUGGGGUGCAGAUGGCCCUGAACUGAAUAAUCUAAAAAUCAUUACAAAGCACUGAUAUUCCCUUGUACAUAUCACUGCUGGAACUGGGGAGAGCGGGAAGACUUCCUACCUGCCUUUUUGUUUUUGCACCACCACAAUCCUACACAGAGCUGGCUUGCUGCGUGCCGUCAUAGCUGUGAUUAUAGAGCACAGCUGGCCAGCAUCACUUUCUGAUGGUCAUGUUUUAGGUCAGUUUGGAGUUUGUAGUUUGAGCACCUGGGAUUUGAUUAAAAACCCCUGUGACGAGGAAGUCUUUAAGAAGUUACUCCACCAAAUUUUGUAGCUUAGCAGUUAUGCUGGAGCAGGCAGGGGUGGUGUGGUGGGUGCAGACCUUUGCUGUUUCCAGGGGCAGAAUGAAGCAGCCCUGUCUUUAAGGAUUCAGGCGUGCUGGCUGAGAACGGGCAACUGAUAUGUUAACCAGCCUGUGCUGCUCCAGAAUUCAUACGUGAGCUGAGAGAGCUCUCCUCAAGGCUUCUGAACUUUCCCCAGGAGAAAGGCUGGGACAAAAGGCUCUGCUGGCCCCAAGGGACUGGUAGCGGGUGAAAGGAGCCUUUCACCUACACACGGGGAAUUUAUAUGGCAUGGAGCUGGCAGUGCCUAAAAGCCCUUUGUUAGUACUGCUAGCUAGUGCCUCUGUGAAACCUGUCGGUGGCUUCCUGUGAGUUCAAAGUGGCUGUAAGCGUAUCGGUCAAUCCCCGAUAACUUUCCUGGCUGCUUUGCCAGGGAGGUGGUGGGGAACUGACCGGGGACACGGGGCACUGGAAAAGCGACUGCUGCAGCUCUGUAGGGCAGCUGGUGCAGUAGGAGCCUACGCCAUCCUGGUCGCACUGCGAGGAGAGGCAGUGGUGGUGGUUUCCCUGCUACUAGAGGCCUUUUAUAAGUUGUCUGGGUGACCGGAGGGACUUGAGGUGGGAUGCACAACUGCUCCUUGUGGACCUGUCCCCCGCUGGAGCAGGGGUAGGAUGGGUACCUCUACCUGGGGGCAGGCUGCAGGUGAGGACCCGGUGCUGUGUCACGGAACUGCAGGAUGAACGAGGUGGGAAGGGCCCUCUGCAGGUCCUCCUGUGCAACCCCUGCUCAAGCGGGGCCACCUACAGCAGGUUUCCACGUGGCUAUUGAAGAUCCCCAGGGACGGAGCCCCCGCAGCCUCUCCGGGCAGCCCUUACCGGCGCUCCCCCCCCUCACAGCACCGCAGCGCGUCCCGCCGUCCGGAGGCCGCCCCGCUGCCUCUCCCGGCGGCCCCCCCCGCUUCACAGACCCCUUCUCCAUCCCCCCGUCCCCUCCCGGGGGGCCGGGGCGCCUUUAAGCGGA